CCUAGUCACCUGGUGCUAAAAGCAAAUGCCUCGGUUGUUGAGAAGUAUGACAUCCAUGGAGCAUGCGUGAUCACGCUUACAUUUGAACUGAGGUAUGUGAAUUUCUUGAUAUUCUACGUCUGAAAAUCAGGUAUGUGAAUUUCUAUUUCUUAAGGUUAAUAUUUUCUGUUGUUUAUAAAAUUCUUUACCUUGUGUACCCAUUCUCGACAAGUAGCAAACAAACUUACAUAGGUCUUCUAACAUCGCCUUUUUAUCUUUCUUCGCAUGCAGUUGUUCUCGGGUUUCUGAAGAUCGUCAUAAGAGUUUCAGGUUAUUCUUUAGUUCCCUUUGCAGUUUUUAUGCAGUUGUCGGGGCUUUUGUCUGUUUUCUUCAAGUGUAGCCGUGUUACCAUGUAGAUGACUAGGUGACAGGAAUUUUAUUUUUGAAGAUCGUAUAGCUGGUUGGGGUUGUCAUUUCUAUUUUGAUUAAUUUAUAUACGAUGUUUACAUUGUUGAAAGAGCAAACUAUUUUUUC